UACGUAGGUGGCGAGCGUUGUCCGGAUUUACUGGGUGUAAAGGGCGUGUAGGCGGGUCUGUAAGUCAGAUGUGAAAGCCCAUGGCUUAACUGUGGGACUGCAUUUGAAACUGCGGAUCUUGAGUACUGGAGAGGAAAGCGGAAUUCCCGGUGUAGCGGUGGAAUGCGUAGAUAUCGGGAGGAACACCAGUGGCGAAGGCGGCUUUCUGGACAGCAACUGACGCUGAGGCGCGAAAGCGUGGGGAGCAAACAGGAUUAGAUACCCUGGUAGUCCACGCUGUAAACGAUGGAUACUAGGUGUGGGGGGACUGACCCCCUCCGUGCCGGAGUUAACACAAUAAGUAUCCCACCUGGGGAGUACGGUCGCAGGAUUAAA
rnacentral:rRNA from 1 species